CAGUCGCCGCGGGAACACGUAGGUGGCAAGCGUUGUCCGGAAUUAUUGGGCGUAAAGGGCUCGCAGGCGGUUUCUUAAGUCUGAUGUGAAAGCCCCCGGCUCAACCGGGGAGGGUCAUUGGAAACUGGGAAACUUGAGUGCAGAAGAGGAGAGUGGAAUUCCACGUGUAGCGGUGAAAUGCGUAGAGAUGUGGAGGAACACCAGUGGCGAAGGCGACUCUCUGGUAUGUAACUGACGCUGAGGAGCGAAAGCGUGGGGAGCGAACAGGAUUAGAUACCCGUGUAGUCCCUGUCUCUUAUAC
rnacentral:rRNA from 1 species